GACGAACGCUGGCGGCGUGCCUAAUACAUGCAAGUAGAACGCACAGUUUAUACCGUAGCUUGCUACACCAUAAACUGUGAGUUGCGAACGGGUGAGUAACGCGUAGGUAACCUGCCUGGUAGCGGGGGAUAACUAUUGGAAACGAUAGCUAAUACCGCAUAAUAUUGAUUAUUGCAUGAUAAUUGAUUGAAAGAUGCUAUUGCAUCACUACCAGAUGGACCUGCGUUGUAUUAGCUAGUAGGUGAGGUAACGGCUCACCUAGGCGACGAGACAUAGCCGACCUGAGAGGGGGAUCGGCCACACUGGGACUGAGACACGGCCCAGACUCCUACGGGAGGCAGCAGUAGGGAAUCUUCGGCAAUGGACGAAAGUCUGACCGAGCAACGCCGCGUGAGUGAAGAAGGUUUUCGGAUCGUAAAGCUCUGUUGUAAGAGAAGAACGGGUGUGAGAGUGGAAAGUUCACACUGUGACGGUAUCUUACCAGAAAGGGACGGCUAACUACGUG
rnacentral:rRNA from 1 species